rnacentral:rRNA from 1 species
UACCGAGGUGGCAAGCGUUGUUCGGAAUUACUGGGCGUAAAGGGUGCGUAGGCGGCCCGUCAAGUCCCGUGUGAAAGCCCCCGGCUCAACCGGGGAACUGCACGGGAAACUAGCAGGCUUGAGUUCGGGAGAGGGAAGCGGAAUUUCGGGUGUAGCGGUGAAAUGCGCAGAUAUCCGAAGGAACACCGGUGGCGAAGGCGGCUUCCUGGACCGACACUGACGCUGAGGCACGAAAGCUAGGGGAGCAAACGGG